AUUGAACGUUGGCGGCAGGCCUAAAACAUGCAAGUCGAACGGUAACAGCGAGAGCUUGCUCUCGGCUGACAAGUGGCGAACGGGUGAGUAACACGUAGGAAUCUACCCAAUAGUGGGGGACAACCCGGGGAAACCCGGGCUAAUACCGCAUACGCUCUCCUAUCGAAGGAUAGGAAAGGAAAGCGGGGGAUCUUCGGACCUCGCGCUAUUGGAGGAGCCUGCGUCGGAUUAGCUAGUUGGUAGGGAAAAGCCUACCAAGGCGACGAUCCGUAGCUGGUCUGAGAGGACGAUCAGCCACACUGGAACUGAGACACGGUCCAGACUCCUACGGGAGGCAGCAGUUAGGAAUCUUGGGCAAUGGGCGCAAGCCUGACCCAGCCAUGCCGCGUGUGUGAAGAAGACCCUGGGUUGUAAAGCACUUUCAGUGGCGAAGAAAGCGAGGGAUUAAUACUCCCGCGUCUUGACGUUAG
rnacentral:rRNA from 1 species